AUUCCAGAUAAACAUUUGUGUUUGAUUCAUUUAUGGAAGGCAGACGUUAGGAUAGGGAGAGUUCACUGAUGACCCCUUUUUGUUAUCAGGUGGUGUUGUACUAGUACCUCACUGAACAUAU